AGAGUUUGAUCAUGGCUCAGAUUGAACGCUGGCGGUAUGCUUAACACAUGCAAGUCGAACGGUAGCAGGCCUUCGGGCGCAGUAGAGCGGCGGACGGGUGAGUAACGCGUAGGAAUCUGCCUAGUAGUGGGGGACAACUUAGGGAAACUUAAGCUAAUACCGCAUACGCCCUACGGGGGAAAGCAGGGGAUCUUCGGACCUUGCGCUAUUAGAUGAGCCUGCGUCGGAUUAGCUAGUUGGUAGGGUAAAGGCCUACCAAGGCAACGAUCCGUAGCUGGUUUGAGAGGACGAUCAGCCACACUGGGACUGAGACACGGCCCAGACUCCUACGGGAGGCAGCAGUGGGGAAUAUUGGACAAUGGGGGCAACCCUGAUCCAGCAAUACCGCGUGUGUGAAGAAGGCCUUAGGGUUGUAAAGCACUUUCAGUAGGGAGGAACAGAAGUAGUUAAUAAUUGCUAUCUGUGACGUUACUCGCAGAAGAAGGACCGGCUAACUCCGUGCCAGCAGCCGCGGUAAUACGGAGGGUCCGAGCGUUAAUCGGAAUUACUGGGCGUAAAGCGUACGCAGGCGGUUUGUUUAGCGAGAUGUGAAAGCCCCGGGCUCAACCUGGGAACUGCAUUUCGAACUGACAAACUAGAGUUUUGUAGAGGGUGGUAGAAUUUCAGGUGUAGCGGUGAAAUGCGUAGAGAUCUGAAGGAAUACCAGUGGCGAAGGCGGCCACCUGGACAAUAACUGACGCUCAUGUACGAAAGCGUGGGGAGCAAACGGGAUUAGAUACCCCGGUAGUCCACGCCGUAAACGAUGUCAACUAGCCGACUGAGCGCCUUGAGCGCUGGGUGGCGCAGCUAACGCAUUAAGUUGACCGCCUGGGGAGUACGGCCGCAAGGUUAAAACUCAAAUGAAUUGACGGGGGCCCGCACAAGCGGUGGAGCAUGUGGUUUAAUUCGAUACAACGCGAAGAACCUUACCUACUCUUGACAUCCAAGAACUUUAGCAGAGAUGCUUUGGUGCCUUCGGGAACUGUGAGACAGGUGCUGCAUGGCUGUCGUCAGCUCGUGUUGUGAAAUGUUGGGUUAAGUCCCGUAACGAGCGCAACCCUUAUCUCUAGUUGCCAGCAAGUAAUGUUGGGGACUCUAGAGAGACUGCCGGUGAUAAACCGGAGGAAGGCGGGGACGACGUCAAGUCAUCAUGGCCCUUAUGAGUAGGGCUACACACGUGCUACAAUGGCUGGUACAGAGGGCUGCAAACUCGCGAGAGUAAGCUAAUCCCUUAAAGCUGUUCUUAGUCCGGAUUGGAGUCUGCAACUCGACUCCAUGAAGUCGGAAUCGCUAGUAAUCGCGAAUCAGCAUGUCGCGGUGAAUACGUUCUCGGGCCUUGUACACACCGCCCGUCAUACCAUGGGAGUGGGUUGCAAAAGAAGUAGGUAGGCUAACCUUCGGGAGGCCGCUUACCACUUUGUGACUAAUGACUGGGGUGAAGUCGUAACAAGGUAAAGGG
rnacentral:rRNA from 1 species